rnacentral:lncRNA from 10 species
GGGCAGGGUCCUAAUCUGAUAGAACCGGUGUCCUCAUUAGAGAGGGAAGAGAUGCCUGAGCUCCCUCCCUCUCUCCCUGUGGGCGCACAAAGGAAAAGCCACAUGAGGACAGAGAAAGAAGGUGGCUGUCUACGAGCCAGAAAGAGAAGCCUCACCAGAAACCAACCCUACCGGCACCUUGAUCUUGAACUUCCAGCCUCCAGAACUGUGAGAAAAUAAACGUCUGUGGUUUAAGCCACCCAGUCUGAGGUAUUUUGUUAAGGCAGUCUGAGCAGCUAAUUGGCUCUCAGUUUCAAGGCUGAUUUCAAGAGACUCGUGUUGGCCAGGUAUGAGGGGAGCCAGUGCUCAAGUGAAGGAAGGAAAAUUCAGCACAUCCUCCUCGUCUAGCUGAAGGGGGCUCUGGAGCAGCAGGAGGGGCCCAGGGCAAGCCUGGAAUGAAAUCCGUGGCACUCCUGCAGGUUCUGGGGGCGGUGUCCAUGGAAUAUCCUCUGCCACAUAACAAAAUGACUAAUAAUUGCUUGGGGAGCUUUCAGAACUGCCCCAAGGCUUCCUCUAACACUCCACCCACACCUGGUUCAUGCCAGGUUGCUCGAUGCCUUGGUUCGGGAGAAUAGGUGUGGUGUCAUCUCAGGCUUGGUGGCAGCCCAAGGGAAGGGGCAAGUGUUCUGAGUCUCUCUAGAUGACACAGGAGCUGAGGAAAGCUGGAGUGAAUUAUGAGUCACAGCCCGUACCUCACAAGAAAGUUCUGCCCGAUGCCAGAGCUGGGAGCCAUCACCAGUUAUGCAGGGUUGGUGGAGAAGAGCCUCGGGAUAAUUGGAGUCGUGAUGUUACCAUUUUGGAAAUAAUUUUUUAAUUGCAUCUACCAGCUCACAGUACAGAUGAGAUCACCAAGCUGGGGGAGAAGGGACUUGCUUGAAGUGACCCUCAUGGACUGGGACUGGAAGGCAGAGCUGAACUCAAGCUACUCUGGGUGCUGCCCUGCUCCUGGAAGGAGGGGGAUAUGCUGUGCCCAGGUGUGGAAUGGAAUGGAGGGCUGUGACACACCUCCACCAUGGGGAUAUGGAGUGACCUUCUGAGAUGAGGGGGUCAUCUGUCAGGUCCCACCCUCUGUGCUGUGCCUUGAUUCAGACCCACGACACAACCAGCCGUCCACCCCACCCCAGGUGGUCCUGGCCAGGGGAAGUGCUGAAAUGCCCCCAUUGCCAUCCUGAACUGCUAUGCUGGUGAUGACCAUAGGAAAGCUUUAUUCUAGGUAUACUAUUUCAACUGCUGGGCCCCAGCUUCCUUAUCUAUAAAAUGUAGUUAGUUCCGGUUCCUGCCUUAUAUGAUGUGGAGAAGAUUAAAUGAGAUUAUGGACACGAAGCUCUUCAAAUUGCCCGGCACAGAGUAAACGCUCAAUAUUUAUCAGCUGUUAGUCAUUAGGUCUGUUUGACUUGCAGAACUUCCAGUGGUGGACAUUUUUGAAGGGAUGCUUGGGGCCCCCUCGAGAUGCUGGCCUAGCAGGACCCAGCUGCUCCAUCCUUGGAUGAAACACCCAACAAGUGUUCCCCGGGUGAUGGAUCAGGAAACUCAGACUCCUGGCCAGGGAAAACAGGCCUGACCUGCUCUCUGGAACCCCCAUGUUGCCAUCCAGGAGAUCCUGAAGCCCAAGGCACAAAUGAGGAGGAGCACAAGGAGUGCAUGUCCUGGCCGGGUGCAGUGGCUCAUGCCUGUAAUCCCAGCACUUUGGGAGGCCGAGCUGGGUGGAUCACCUGAAGUCAGGAGUUCAAGACCAGCCUGGCCAACAUGGUGAAACCCCGUCUCUACUAAAAACACAAAAAUUAGCUGGACGUGGUGGCAGGCGCCUGUAAUCCCAGCUACUCAGGAGGCCGAGGCAGGAGGAUCACCUGAGGUCAGGAGUUCAAGAAGAGCCUGGCCAACAUGGAGAAACCCCAUCUCUACCAAAAAUACAAAAAUUAGCCCGGUGUGGAGGUGUGCACCUAUAGCCCCAGCUAUUUGGGAGGCUGAGCCAGGAGAAUCACUUGAACCCGGGCAGCCGAGGUUGCAGUGAGCUGAGAUCAUGCCAGUGCACCCAGCCUGGGCAACAGAGCAAGACUCUGUUUCAAAAAACAAACAAACAAAAAACAGUAUGUCCUGGAAAUCGUUCCUCAUCAGUUCAUAGAUGUCUUCCUCAAUCAUUUUACAGUUGCACAGAACUCCAUUGUGUGACUGCACCACAGUUUAUUCAAUCACUGCCUAUGUAUAGGAAGUGAUAUUGUUUUCAAUAUUUUGCAAUUAUAAACCGUGCCACAAUGAAUAACCUUGUGCAUUUGUAUUUUCACAGUGUCUGGGGGAGUAUCUUCAGGGUAAAUUGCUGGAAGUGGGAG